GACGAACGCUGGCGGCGUGCUUAACACAUGCAAGUCGAACGGAAAGGCCCUUGCGUUGCAGGGGUAACUCGAGUGGCGAACGGGUGAGUAACACGUGGGUGAUCUGCCUUGUACUUCGGGAUAAGCCUGGGAAACUGGGUCUAAUACCGGAUAGGACCAUGCUUUAGUGUGUGUGGUGGAAAGUUUCGGCGGUUGGGGAUGGACUCGCGGCUUAUCAGCUUGUUGGUGGGGUAGUGGCUUACCAAGGCUUUGACGGGUAGCCGGCCUGAGAGGGUGACCGGCCACAUUGGGACUGAGACACGGCCCAG
rnacentral:rRNA from 1 species